rnacentral:rRNA from 1 species
CGGGACACGUGGUAUCCUGUCUGAAUAUGGGGGGACCAUCCUCCAAGGCUAAAUACUCCUGACUGACCGAUAGUGAACCAGUACCGUGAGGGAAAGGCGAAAAGAACCCCGGCGAGGGGAGUGAAAAAGAACCUGAAACCGUGUACGUACAAGCAGUGGGAGCACGCUUAGGCGUGUGACUGCGUACCUUUUGUAUAAUGGGUCAGCGACUUAUAUUCUGUAGCAAGGUUAACCGAAUAGGGGAGCCGAAGGGAAACCGAGUCUUAACUGGGCGUUAAGUUGCAGGGUAUAGACCCGAAACCCGGUGAUCUAGCCAUGGGCAGGUUGAAGGUUGGGUAACACUAACUGGAGGACCGAACCGACUAAUGUUGAAAAAUUAGCGGAUGACUUGUGGCUGGGGGUGAAAGGCCAAUCAAACCGGGAGAUAGCUGGUUCUCCCCGAAAGCUAUUUAGGUAGCGCCUCGUGAAUUCAUCUCCGGGGGUAGAGCACUGUUUCGGCAAGGGGGUCAUCCCGACUUACCAACCCGAUGCAAACUGCGAAUACCGGAGAAUGUUAUCACGGGAGACACACGGCGGGUGCUAACGUCCGUCGUGAAGAGGGAAACAACCCAGACCGCCAGCUAAGGUCCCAAAGUCAUGGUUAAGUGGGAAACGAUGUGGGAAGGCCCAGACAGCCAGGAUGUUGGCUUAGAAGCAGCCAUCAUUUAAAGAAAGCGUAAUAGCUCACUGGUCGAGUCGGCCUGCGCGGAAGAUGUAACGGGGCUAAACCAUGCACCGAAGCUGCGGCAGCGACGCUGAUGCGUUGUUGGGUAGGGGAG